GGAAACAGAUGCUAAUACCGCAUAAACCUAACACCGCAUGGUGUAGGUUGAAGAUGGUUUCGGCUAUCACUUUAGGAUGGACCCGCGGUGCAUUAGUUAGUUGGUGAGGUAAAGGCUCACCAAGACCGUGAUGCAUAGCCGACCUGAGAGGUAAUCGGCCACACUGGGACUGAGACACGGCCCAGACUCCUACGGGAGGCAGCAGUAGGGAAUCUUCCACAAUGGACGAAAGUCUGAUGGAGCAACGCCGCGUGAGUGAAGAAGGUUUUCGGAUCGUAAAACUCUGUUGUUGGAGAAGAAUGUAUCUGAUAGUAACUGAUCAGGUAGUGACGGUAUCCAACCAGAAAGCCACGGCUAACUACGUG
rnacentral:rRNA from 1 species